rnacentral:rRNA from 1 species
AUUCCAGCUCCAAUAGCGUAUAUUAAAGUUGUUGCGGUUAAAAAGCUCGUAGUUGGAUUUCUGCUGAGGACGACCGGUCCGCCCUCUGGGUGAGUAUCUGGCUCGGCCUGGGCAUCUUCUUGGAGAGCGUAGCUGCACUUGACUGUGUGGUGCGGUAUCCAGGACUUUUACUUUGAGGAAAUUAGAGUGUUUCAAGCAGGCACACGCCUUGAAUACAUUAGCAUGGAAUAAUAAGAUAGGACCUUGGUUCUAUUUUGUUGGUUUCUAGAGCUGAGGUAAUGAUUAAUAGGGAUAGUUGGGGGUAUUCAUAUUUAAUUGUCAGAGGUGAAAUUCUUGGAUUUAUGAAAGAUGAACUCAUGCGAAAGCAUUUACCAAGGAUGUUUUCAUCG